GACGAACGCUGGCGGCGUGCUUAACACAUGCAAGUCGAACGGAAAGGCCCUGCUAUUGUGGGGUGCUCGAGUGGCGAACGGGUGAGUAACACGUGAGUAACCUGCCCUUGACUUUGGGAUAACUUCAGGAAACUGGGGCUAAUACCGGAUAGGAGCUCCUGCUGCAUGGUGGGGGUUGGAAAGUUUCGGCGGUUGGGGAUGGACUCGCGGCUUAUCAGCUUGUUGGUGGGGUAGUGGCUUACCAAGGCUUUGACGGGUAGCCGGCCUGAGAGGGUGACCGGCCACAUUGGGACUGAGAUACGACCCAGACUCCUACGGGAGGCAGCAGUGGGGGAUAUUGCACAAUGGGCGGAAGCCUGAUGCAGCAACGCCGCGUGCGGGAUAACGGCCUUCGGGUUGUAAACCGCUUUCGCCUGUGACGAAGCGUGAGUGACGGUAAUGGGUAAAGAAGCACCGGCUAACUACGUG
rnacentral:rRNA from 1 species